CUAGUAAGAUCCCUGAAAGAUGAUCAGGUUGAUAGGUCAGAGGUGGAAGCGUGGCGACAUGUGUAGCUGACUGAUACUAAUCGAUCGAGGACUUAACCAAA
rnacentral:rRNA from 2 species